ensembl:snRNA U2 U2 spliceosomal RNA
AUUGCUUCUCGGCCUUUUGGCUAAGAUCAAAUGUGGUAUCUGUUCUUACCCGUUUAAUAUCUGAUAUGUCUUCUAUCCGAGGACAAUAUAUUAACUGGAUUUUUGGAGCAGGGAGAUGGAAUAGGAGCUUGCUCUGUCCACUCUGCGCAUUGACCUGGUAUUGCAGUACCUCCAGGAACGGUGCACCCCCU